CUGACUUCAUCGGACUUUGCUGCACUGUCACUGGGAUUCCGGAGAGCUGUAGAUAAAUACCUUGUGAACUCUGAGAGAGACGUUGCUUUCUACUGGGAGAUACAUAAGAAUAUUAUUUGAUACAGCAAGUAGCAUUCGGACCUUAAAGGUGAGGAAAAGGAAGCCCAGAAAAGGGAAGCAGAGGAGGUGGUUAGUUUCAAAGCCUGGAAUGGAACUCAGGACUUCCACCAACGUCAUGGUGCCCACAUGCCCCUGGAUCUAAGAGUGUGAGUUGGAAGCAUGUGAGUACAGUCACCCUCCAAUCAACCAAGGUCUAGAAGCAGAUGGUUCUCAGACAUCAGAUUUUCUGACGAUCUAUCAGAAGGUCAGUAUGCGCUGAGUGAGAACUUACAAGAAGAUGGCCUUGGACAUGUGGAUGUGGACAGGAAAUGAAACAGUUAUCGGAGGUCAGCCUCUCUGGGGAAGCAGAUGAGCCUCCUUCUAAUGAACCGUCAAGGGUCCCUAGCAGCCUAUGCCGUGCACCUCACUACGUUUCACCACGUAGGCGUUGAUCAUCUCACAUCAUUGCA